AAGGCCGACGAAUUCUCAUUUAUUUGCUUUAUUUCGAAAAUGAUUUAUAAUAUUUAAAAACAGCAUCUCUAAAUGGUGGGCUCUUUGAAAAAAAAAGUUGGUAAUCAAAAUAGAUUAAGUUGUUGACCUGUCACUUGCUCCCUUCAUCGAGGAAAGGAUUCUUCAAUAAGAAUUUGAAAUAGCCUGCGGGAGUCCUUGGUAGAGCACACAUUAUUCAAACGGAGAGAGGCUGCUCUAGAAACCUUUCCAAAUAUGUGCACUAUUCCAGAGAAGUGAAGACAGACGCCAUGGUUUACUGUACAGUACAAAGUUAGGAAUUUAUCUGGAGGUGGAAAACGUCAGUGGAAAAUACAUUGGUUCAAUUUAAACAUUCCAGGGCAAUCUCAAGACGAUCUGUUUGUUGUGGGUUUCAAAGCUUGUAUUUCCUGGUUGAUCUCAGUUAGCAUUCAGUUCUAUUUGAGUGAUGGGUUUAUAUACACACAUUCUCUCCGGCUUAAACUUCCUUCAGUCUUGGUAACCGCCGUUUCAUUGAAACCAUGGCAGGUCUUUCGCCUUAUAGCUGUCUACGUUGAACAAAGUAUGGUGCUUCGACAGGUACCCUGCCUUCUUGACUUGAUUCCCAAAGAGUUCGAGCCUCGGACAUUGGAGAAAGUGUGACAAAAAUCCGGCGUAGGAAUAGAUAU
rnacentral:sRNA from 2 species